UGGAUGUUAAAUUUGUUCUUGGAUGUUAAAUUUAUGCAGAUUUGGUUUAAAGGAUUGAUGUGUUUGCAUGAUAACACUUAGGGUUGUUAGUUCCUCUAGAAAUGAGAUAUUGAGUUCCAGCAUAGUGAUAUGCAGAGUGAGUCUGCUUUACUCAUGGGCGGAAGAGUAUCACGAGGUGACAACAAUACAGAUCACCAAGCAAAUACAUGUCACUUUUGUAUAUUUAUUUAUUGUUAACCUACUCUAGAUUGUAAAAUGUUUAAGCUAUCAUAUACC